AUUGAACGCUGGCGGCAGGCCUAACACAUGCAAGUCGAGCGGGGUUUUCGGACCUAGCGGCGGACGGGUGAGUAAUGCGUAGGAAGCUGCCCGAUAGAGGGGGAUACCAGUUGGAAACGACUGUUAAUACCGCAUAAUGUCUACGGACCAAAGUGUGGGACCCUCGGGCCACAUGCUAUCGGAUGCGCCUACGUGGGAUUAGCUAGUUGGUGAGGUAAUGGCUCACAAAGGAGACGAUCUCUAGCUGGUUUGAGAGGAUGAUCAGCCACACUGGAACUGAGACACGGUCCAGACUCCUACGGGAGGCAGCAGUGGGGAAUAUUGGACAAUGGGCGCAAGCCUGAUCCAGCCAUGCCGCGUGUGUGAAGAAGGCCUUCGGGUUGUAAAGCACUUUCAGCGAGGAGGAAGGGUGGUGUGUUAAUAGCACAUCAUUUUGACGUUACUCGCAGAAGAAGCACCGGCUAACUCUGUGCCAGCAGCCGCGGUAAAAC
rnacentral:rRNA from 1 species